GUGGGGAAUCUUCCGCAAUGGACGAAAGUCUGACGGAGCGACGCCGCGUGAGUGAAGAAGGCCUUCGGAUCGUAAAGCUCUUUCGUUAGGGACGAACGUGCUCUUUGUGAAUAAUGAGGAGUAAUGACGGUACCUAAAUAAGAAGCCACGGCUAACUACGUGCCAGCAGCCGCGGUAAUACGUAGGUGGCAAGCGUUGUCCGGAAUUAUUGGGCGUAAAGCGCGCGCAGGCGGGAUAUCAAGUCUGUCUUAAAAGUGCGAGGCUCAACCUCGUGAGGGGACAGAAACUGGUAUUCUUGAGUGUCGGAGAGGAAAGUGGAAUUCCAAGUGUAGCGGUGAAAUGCGUAGAGAUUUGGAAGAACACCAGUGGCGAAGGCGACUUUCUGGACGAUGUCUGACGCUGAGGCGCGAAAGCUAGGGGAGCGAACGGGAUUAGAAACCCUAGUAGUCC
rnacentral:rRNA from 1 species